CAUAAGCCGGGCUGACUGCGAGACCGACGGGUCGAGCAGAGGGGAAACCCGGUCCUAGUGACCCGGCGACUCCGAGUGGAAGGGUCGUCGAUCAACGGACAAAAGUUACCCCGGGGAUAACAGGCUAGUCUUGCCCGAGAGUUCACAUCGACGGCAAGGAUCGGCACCUCGAUGUCGGCUCAUCCCAUCCUGGGGCUGAAGCAGGUCCCAAGGGUUAGGCUGUUCGCCUAUUAAAGGGGUACGUGAGCUGGGUUCAGACCGUCGUGAGACAGGUCGGUCCCUAUCUGCUGCGGGCGUAGGAGGUUUGAGGGGGCUCGCCCAUUGUACGAGAGGACCUGGGUGAGGGAGCCUCUGGUGUACCGGCUGUCCUGCCAAGGGCAUACGCCGGGUAGCUACGCUCCUAAGUGAUAACCGCUGAAAGCAUCUAAGCGGGAAGCACGCCCCAAGAUGAGACCUCCCAUCCCGUUAAGGGAGUAAGGCCGGUUCGAGAAGAGGACCUUGAUAGGCUGGUGGUGGAAGCGCGGCAAUGCGUGGAGCCAACCGGUACUAAUCGGCCGAGGCCUUCACCU
rnacentral:rRNA from 1 species